GUGCUCAUUUCGGCAGCACAUAUACUAAAGUUGGAACGCUAACAGAGGAGAUGAGCAUGGCCCCUGUGCAAGGAGGACACGCAAAGAGACUUGCACAAAGAACUU